rnacentral:sRNA from 20 species
ACCUGCUGUGGGUGAUAGCGCGUGGGUGCCCACAGCACAAGACAGAACAUCGUGUCACGGGAACAAACGUGGCAUUUUAGGGCGUU